AGUAAACUCACAUCAUGCGUGCUCUUAUCUUCAUCACCAUUUUCCUUGUGGCCACAUACACUGCCUAUGCGCAACCUGACAAUGGGGUUUCUGACCAGUCAGUGAGGCGUUGCCCUCUGAAUGCCCGGUUCCGGCGAUGUGUUCCUCCCUGUCCCCCGACUUGUAGGACCCCCAGCCCCGUCUGCAGAGGCGCGCCCUGCGUUAAUGCAUGCUACUGCAAUCCCGGUUACAUACGACGAAGCACGGAUGGUCCUUGCGUAAGACCGUAUACAUGCCCUCGUUAAUUGAAGACUGCGAUUCUCUCAAGAGACCGAAUCGAUUUUCUAUGGCAACCGACCCGGAAGAAGAAAUUAUAAGACAUCCUCUGAAUAUCACUUUCCCUCUAGUUUCUUUCUACUUCUAUGAUAAUCUAUGAUGAGAUUGAAUGUAAUAAAAUAAUUGGAAGCAAGA